AGAGUUUGAUCAUGGCUCAGAGCGAACGCUGGCGGCAGGCUUAACACAUGCAAGUCGAGCGGGCGUAGCAAUACGUCAGCGGCAGACGGGUGAGUAACGCGUGGGAACAUACCUUUUGGUUCGGAACAACCCAGGGAAACUUGGGCUAAUACCGGAUAAGCCCUUACGGGGAAAGAUUUAUCGCCGAAAGAUCGGCCCGCGUCUGAUUAGCUAGUUGGUGAGGUAACGGCUCACCAAGGCGACGAUCAGUAGCUGGUCUGAGAGGAUGAUCAGCCACAUUGGGACUGAGACACGGCCCAAACUCCUACGGGAGGCAGCAGUGGGGAAUAUUGGACAAUGGGCGCAAGCCUGAUCCAGCCAUGCCGCGUGAGUGAUGAAGGCCCUAGGGUUGUAAAGCUCUUUUGUACGGGAAGAUAAUGACGGUACCGCAAGAAUAGCCC
rnacentral:rRNA from 1 species